rnacentral:lncRNA from 1 species
CCAUGAUUUAACACUGAGAAGUGGGCAGUCACAGAGAAAAAGUUUAGAAUAGUUCACCAGUGAAGUCAUCUCAACCAGCACAGGGCCUUGACUCCUAACAACAAUCACACGAACUUGGAAGAGGAGCCUUCCCCAACUGAACCUUCGCUUGAGACCUCGUCCUUGGCCAUCCUCUACAUCUGGAUUCAUGAUACAGAGAAACUUGAGUAAUGAUGACACUAGCAGUCCAGCCUGCAUGGAUGCUGACAUGGAUGCUGUCUCCCAUUCUUACCACUGGAUGGGAAGAAAUGCUAGAUGCAAUCCAGCCAGUCUGUACUCGACUGUCAGUUCCAUCUUCUCAACUCACAGUGUCUUCCAAAGUCCGUGCCACACCACAGCCUGGAACAUCUCCCAAGGUUUCAAAUAAUUCAUCAGUGAAUUCUUCUCAACCUGGUCAAUCAUGUGAACUUAGAAGAUGAUUCCUCCCCAGCUGAUCCUCAGGUGAGACAUCAGCCUUGGCCAUCAUCUACAUCUGGAUUCCUGACCCAGAGAAACUGGAACACUAAGACCCAUUCUUCUUCUCAAGUAUCCAAAAAUAAAGUUGAUCCAAGUAAGAAGUGGACAGCAUAAAAGAUUGUAUGGAAGCUAUAAUGCAUCUACAUCUGCAGUAACUAAUCAUAAAAUGAUUUGUAUGAUCAUUCUUCACAUGAUUAGAAUUACUAUGGGAAAGAAGAAAAAGAAAUGCCUCUCUGGAUGGUGACUAUAACCUAUAGCCUUGCCCAAUAUGACUCAGGAUUUGGUACUGGCUGUGCCUUUCAUGGGAUGCUUACUUAUCCUGGUCGAUGGCCUAAAGCCCAACCGUCCAGCUUAUAUCCAGGGAUAAACUCAGCCUGCGGGGCCUCAGGAAGAAGGUCGUAGCCAUUUCAUUGAGUCCAGGGCAGAAAAGUGGAAGAAAAAUGUGAAUGUGUUAAUUUGAGGACUUUAGCUCUGAGAGGUUUCAGGAUUCAGUCCAAAAUGCAGAAAACAAUAAAAAGCUCAAAAACAAUGGACAAGACUAGAAUCUAACAACAGGGUCUCAAGCCACCCAGGCUGGAGUGCAGUGGCACAAUUAUGGCUCACUGUAGCCUCACCUUCCUGGGAUCAAGCAAUCUUCUUUCUUCAGCCUCCAGAGGAGCUGGGACCACAGAUCCUUUGGCAUUUGAGAGUUGCUUUGUGUAUACGGUCCUUUAACGGAGCAAAUGGCCAGCCAGGAAACCAAAGUAUGGACAAGGGGAAAGAAGCGUCUGUGGAGGAAGUUUUACAAGCGCCCUCCUCAUCCAUUUGGGUGGUGUUGCCCAUAUGCUACAUGUCUGUGGACCACUAUGUGUGUUUAAAGCUUUUUAGUAAAACGUUACUAAAAACUAUGACUCACUGUGGUGAAAAAGGUGGCAAAACAGUGACAACAGUGAGUUUGCUGCUGUUAUUAUCUAUCAACACGGAGAUGCAUUGACACCCUUCUUCAAUCCAGAGGAUGGGCCAUCAACUCACAAAAGUACAAGGCCUGGAACCAGCUGCAAAGUUCCUAUGGAUCACUUGGCCAGGUUAGAGUUCAGUGGUGUGAUCUUGGCUUACCUCAACCUCUGCCUCCCAGGUUCAAGGACUUCUCUUGCCUCAGC